UACGUAGGUGGCAAGCGAUACUCGGAAUCACUAGGCGUAAAGCGCAGGUAGGCGGUUUGGUACGUCUUUUGUGAAAGCUCCCGGCUUAACUGGGAGAGGUCAAGGGAAACUACCGGACUAGAGUGUGGUAGGGGAUACUGGAAUUCCUGGUGUAGCGGUGAAAUGCGUAGAUAUCAGGAGGAAUACCUAUGGCGAAAGCAGGUAUCUGGGCCAUCACUGACGCUGAGCUGCGAAAGCUAGGGGAGCAAAUGGG
rnacentral:rRNA from 1 species